rnacentral:rRNA from 1 species
GAUGAACGCUGGCGGCGUGCCUAAUACAUGCAAGUCGAGCGAACAGACGAGGAGCUUGCUCCUCUGACGUUAGCGGCGGACGGGUGAGUAACACGUGGAUAACCUACCUAUAAGACUGGGAUAACUUCGGGAAACCGGAGCUAAUACCGGAUAACAUGUUGAACCGCAUGGUUCAACAGUGAAGGACGGUCUUGCUGUCACUUAUAGAUGGAUCCGCGCCGCAUUAGCUAGUUGGUAAGGUAACGGCUUACCAAGGCAACGAUGCGUAGCCGACCUGAGAGGGUGAUCGGCCACACUGGAACUGAGACACGGUCCAGACUCCUACGGGAGGCAGCAGUAGGGAAUCUUCCGCAAUGGGCGAAAUCCUGACGGAGCAACGCCUCGUGAGUGAAGAAGGUCUUCGGAUCGUAAAACUCUGUUAUUAGGGAAGAACAAAUGUGUAAGUAACUAUGCACGUCUUGACGGUACCUAAUCAGAAAGCCACGGCUAACUACGUG